rnacentral:tRNA from 1 species
CGGGGUGUAGCGCAGUUUGGUAGCGCGCUUGGUUCGGGACCAAGAGGCCCCGGGUUCAAGUCCCGGCACUCCGACCA